rnacentral:rRNA from 1 species
GAUGAACGCUGGCGGCGUGCCUAAUACAUGCAAGUCGAGCGAACAGACGAGGAGCUUGCUCCUCUGACGUUAGCGGCGGACGGGUGAGUAACACGUGGAUAACCUACCUAUAAGACUGGGAUAACUUCGGGAAACCGGAGCUAAUACCGGAUAAUAUAUUGAACCGCAUGGUUCAAUAGUGAAAGACGGUUUUGCUGUCACUUAUAGAUGGAUCCGCGCCGCAUUAGCUAGUUGGUAAGGUAACGGCUUACCAAGGCAACGAUGCGUAGCCGACCUGAGAGGGUGAUCGGCCACCCUGGAACUGAGACACGAUCCAGACUCCUACGGGAGGCAGCAGUAGGGAAUCUUCCGCAAUGGGCGAAAGCCUGACGGAGCAACGCCGCGUGAGUGCUGAAGGUCUUCGGAUCGUAAAACUCUGUUAUUAGGGAAGAACAAAUGUGUAAGUAACUAUGCACGUCUUGACGGUACCUAAUCAGAAAGCCACGGCUAACUACGU